GGGAAUGUGGCUUAGUGGUAGAGUGCUUGCCUAGCAUGCAUGAUAUCCUGGGUUUGAUUCCCCCAGUACCA
rnacentral:tRNA from 1 species